rnacentral:rRNA from 2 species
GGGCAGUGCGGCAUGCCUAUACAUGCAGUCGAACGAGUUCUCGUUGAUGAUCGGUGCUUGCACCGAGAUUCAACAUGGAACGAGUGGCGGACGGGUGAGUAACACGUGGGUAACCUGCCCUUAAGUGGGGGAUAACAUUUGGAAACAGAUGCUAAUACCGCAUAGAUCCAAGAACCGCAUGGUUCUUGGCUGAAAGAUGGCGUAAGCUAUCGCUUUUGGAUGGACCCGCGGCGUAUUAGCUAGUUGGUGAGGUAAUGGCUCACCAAGGCGAUGAUACGUAGCCGAACUGAGAGGUUGAUCGGCCACAUUGGGACUGAGACACGGCCCAAACUCCUACGGGAGGCAGCAGUAGGGAAUCUUCCACAAUGGACGCAAGUCUGAUGGAGCAACGCCGCGUGAGUGAAGAAGGCUUUCGGGUCGUAAAACUCUGUUGUUGGAGAAGAAUGGUCGGCAGAGUAACUGUUGUCGGCGUGACGGUAUCCAACCAGAAAGCCACGGCUAACUACGUGCCAGCAGCCGCGGUAAUACGUAGGUGGCAAGCGUUAUCCGGAUUUAUUGGGCGUAAAGCGAGCGCAGGCGGUUUUUUAAGUCUGAUGUGAAAGCCCUCGGCUUAACCGAGGAAGCGCAUCGGAAACUGGGAAACUUGAGUGCAGAAGAGGACAGUGGAACUCCAUGUGUAGCGGUGAAAUGCGUAGAUAUAUGGAAGAACACCAGUGGCGAAGGCGGCUGUCUGGUCUGUAACUGACGCUGAGGCUCGAAAGCAUGGGUAGCGAACAGGAUUAGAUACCCUGGUAGUCCAUGCCGUAAACGAUGAAUGCUAGGUGUUGGAGGGUUUCCGCCCUUCAGUGCCGCAGCUAACGCAUUAAGCAUUCCGCCUGGGGAGUACGACCGCAAGGUUGAAACUCAAAGGAAUUGACGGGGGCCCGCACAAGCGGUGGAGCAUGUGGUUUAAUUCGAAGCAACGCGAAGAACCUUACCAGGUCUUGACAUCUUUUGAUCACCUGAGAGAUCAGGUUUCCCCUUCGGGGGCAAAAUGACAGGUGGGUGCAUGGUUGUCGUCAGCUCGUGUCGUGAAAAUGUUGGGGUUAAGUCCCGCAACGAGCGCAACCCUUAUGACUAGUUGCCAGCAUUUAGUUGGGCACUCUAAUAAGACUGCCGGGGACAAACCGGAGGAAAGGGGGGGGAA